AACCGGGUGAUCUAGCCAUGGGCAGGUUGAAGGUUGAGUAACAUCAACUGGAGGACCGAACCGACUAAUGUUGAAAAAUUAGCGGAUGACUUGUGGCUAGGGGUGAAAGGCCAAUCAAACUCGGAGAUAGCUGGUUCUCCCCGAAAGCUAUUUAGGUAGCGCCUCGGACGAAUACUACUGGGGGUAGAGCACUGUUAAGGCUAGGGGGUCAUCCCGACUUACCAACCCUUUGCAAACUCCGAAUACCAGUAAGUACUAUCCGGGAGACACACGGCGGGUGCUAACGUCCGUCGUGGAGAGGGAAACAACCCAGACCGCCAGCUAAGGUCCCAAAGUAUUGCUAAGUGGGAAACGAUGUGGGAAGGCUCAGACAGCUAGGAUGUUGGCUUAGAAGCAGCCAUCAUUUAAAGAAAGCGUAAUAGCUCACUAGUCGAGUCGGCCUGCGCGGAAGAUGUAACGGGGCUAAGCAAUACACCGAA
rnacentral:rRNA from 1 species